rnacentral:rRNA from 1 species
CUACGUCCCUAGGUCAGGCGUGAAU